CCCCUGGAAGACUAGUGGUUAGGCCUUGACACUCUCAAUGCCACAGCCCGGGUUCGAUUCCCCUGGGGUU